rnacentral:lncRNA from 1 species
AAAUAAGAGAAGUCUUUACCUCUUAAUUGUCUUUUUGAUUUUCUUUUAAUCAUAAGAGACCACCUAAAUACACCUGAUAAUCAUGCUCUUAGAUCUUGCUUCACCCAAAAUAAAUUUGAAAAUUAAAUCCAAAUGGAAUACACACUGUUCUAUGGUUGAUCAGAAUUAGGUUGAUAUGCAAAGCUAAACUCCAUCCAUGUAUGUGUGGCUAUGAUUUUUAAUAGCUUUCGGUUUUGGUACACAACGCAUAACCCAAGUUUGUUGAAAGACAAUUAAUUAAUAACGAGUUACGAAUAUAUAACAGUGUCUUUCUCUGCUGCACGGCUGCGGCAACAGUGGUCGUUGAAAAACACCGAAUAUUAAAUGCGAUUACGUGCACGUAUAGCGACCUAAGAAGAUCCACACCGCACAUCAACAAACAUAUUUAGCUGUCUUAUCUAUCUGAAAUAUACGAUUCAACCCACAUGAGCUGGUCUUCAUUUUGGACCCAGUACUGCAUUUACACUCGCUUAUACACAGCUAUAGAACUGACUCUGACAGUUUGGUAUCGAUUAGAAAACGGUUAGAAAAUUUUAACCGAUUUCUGAUAGUAAAACGUUUUUCGACCAUAUAGAACUGACCGUCAAUUCUAUAGAAAUCGGUUGAAAAAAGUUUUUUUUUUUUU